CAGAGUUUUCUAAACUCCCAACCCUAUGUGAACUUACCUUUGUUGCCUCGGCGGGACCUACCCGGUACCCCCUCCUUUUUGGGAGGGACUACCCUGUAGCCCGCCGGUGGAUUUUCAAACUCUUGUUAUUUUAAUGAUAUCUGAGCGUCUUAUUUUAAUAAGUCA
rnacentral:misc_RNA from 1 species